rnacentral:tRNA from 1 species
GCCCACAUAGCUCAGUCGGUAGAGCAUCAGACUUUUAAUCUGAGGGUCGCGGGUUCAAGUCCCCCUGUGGGCG